UCGCAGUCAUAAUCAUAACAAAAAUAUUUUAUUAAAAGAAAAUGGAUCCAGAGGCGUUCACAGCGAGUUUGUUCAAAUGGGACCCGAGGACAGUGGUGGCGCCACCGAACCGUCUGCUUGAGGCGGUGGCUCCACCUCCGCAACCUGCAGCUGCUGGGUACUCAGUGAGGCCAAGGGAGCUAUGUGGGCUGGAAGAGUUGUUUCAGGCUUAUGGGAUAAGGUACUACACGGCAGCGAAGAUAGCUGAGCUUGGGUUCACUGUGAACACACUUUUAAACAUGAAAGAUGAGGAGCUUGACGAGAUGAUGAACAGCUUGUCUCAGAUAUUUAGGUGGGAUCUUCUUGUUGGGGAGAGAUAUGGUAUUAAAGCUGCUGUUAGAGCUGAAAGAAGAAGACUUGAGGAGGAGGAGGAUUCUCGAAGAAGGCUUCUUAUAUCAGGAGAUACUAACACUCUUGAUGCUCUCUCUCAAGAAGGCCUAUCAGAGGAGCCAGUGCAGCAAGAGAAGGAAGCGGCAGGGAGCGGUGGAGGAGGAACGUGGGAGGUGGUGGCAGGAGGAGGAGAGAGGACGAAGCAGCAACAACAGCGGCGGAGGAAAGGGCAAAGAAAGGCGGUGGAUAUUGAUAACGAUGAAGAAAAUGAGAACGAUGAAAAUGGUGGUGGUGGUUACGAGAGGCAGCGAGAGCACCCAUUUAUCGUUACAGAGCCUGGGGAAGUGGCACGUGGAAAAAAGAACGGCCUUGAUUAUCUCUUCCAUCUCUACGAACAGUGUCGCGAUUUCUUGAUACAAGUCCAAAACAUUGCCAAAGAGCGAGGAGAAAAAUGCCCUACUAAGGUGACAAAUCAGGUGUUUAGGUAUGCUAAGAAGGCAGGAGCUAGCUACAUCAACAAGCCCAAAAUGCGACACUAUGUGCACUGUUAUGCUCUUCAUUGCCUCGAUGAGGAAGCUUCAAAUGCACUGAGGAGAGCUUUCAAGGAGAGAGGGGAAAAUGUUGGAGCAUGGAGACAGGCAUGCUACAAGCCACUUGUUGCCAUAGCAGCACGGCAAGGAUGGGAUAUCGACGCUAUUUUCAAUGCACAUCCCCGUCUCGCCAUUUGGUAUGUGCCCACCAAGCUUCGCCAACUUUGUCAUGCAGAGCGAAACAGUGCUACAGCUUCCAGCUCAGUCUCUGGUGGUGGGGGUGAUCACUUGCCUUUCUAAGGUUUUACUUAUGGCCGGAGAGACUUUCUUUCUCUGAAAAGCCUAGUAAUAGCUAGUUUGUGUUGCUGUAGCUCAGGACAAGUGCCACGUGAUGAAAGGACCUACUAUCGGGAGUUGGCUCUCUCAUGCACAGAAUAAAAUAGAGAAGCUCGAGCCUGUAUUUUGUGUCAAAAUAACUGUUGAACAACAAGAGUUGCCCGGUGAUUCCUAGUCCUAGACAUUAGAUAAUAAACUGAAAGACUAGAUUCGUCGAUAACAUCGCUGGAGGAUACUACUAA